GGCCUCAUGGUCAAGCGGUUAAGACAUCGCCCUUUCACGGCGGUAACCCGGGUUCGAAUCCCGGUGAGGUCA
rnacentral:tRNA from 1 species